rnacentral:misc_RNA from 1 species
AAGUCGUAACAAGGUCUCCGUAGGUGAACCUGCGGAGGGAUCAUUAACGAGUAAGGGUCUUCCCGGCCCGAUCUCCCAACCCUUUGUCUACUCGACCAUCGUUGCUUCGGCGAGCCCGUCCUCACGGACCGCCGGAGGGCCCUCGCGCCCUCUGGCCCGCGCCCGUCGACAGCCCCCACAUUUAAAAUCUUAACUAAACGUGUCUUGAAUCUAAGUAUUAUUGUUAAAUAAAAACAAAACUUUCAACAACGGAUCUCUUGGUUCUG